GUAGGGUGCGAGCGUUAAUCGGAAUUACUGGGCGUAAAGCGUGCGCAGGCGGUGUGCCAAGCUCGAUGUGAAAGCCCCGGGCUUAACCUGGGAAUUGCAUUGAGGACUGGCGCGCUCGAGUGCGGCAGAGGGGGGUGGAAUUCCACGUGUAGCAGUGAAAUGCGUAGAGAUGUGGAGGAACACCGAUGGCGAAGGCAGCCCCCUGGGCCGACACUGACGCUCAUGCACGAAAGCGUGGGGAGCAAACAGGAUUAGAUACCCUGGUAGUCCACGCCCUAAACGAUGUCGACUGGUUGUUGGGGAAGGCAACUUCCUUAGUAACGAAGCUAACGCGUGAAGUCGACCGCCUGGGGAGUACGGCCGCAAGGUUAAA
rnacentral:rRNA from 1 species